rnacentral:rRNA from 1 species
UACGGAGGAUGCAAGCGUUAUCCGGAAUGAUUGGGCGUAAAGCGUCCGCAGGUGGCUGUGUAAGUCUGCUGUUAAAGAGUGAGGCUCAACCUCAUAAAAGCAGUGGAAACUACACGGCUAGAGUGCGUUCGGGGCAGAGGGAAUUCCUGGUGUAGCGGUGAAAUGCGUAGAUAUCAGGAAGAACACCGGUGGCGAAGGCGCUCUGCUAGGCCGCAACUGACACUGAGGGACGAAAGCGUGGGGAGCGAACAGG